UCAUUAAAUCACGUCUCGAUGCAAAUAAGUUUUUAUGUACAUUUACCUAAACACUACUCGUGAAAGACUGUUAUAACAAAAUGGGGAUAGUACAAAUAGUACCCUUUAUUUUUUUUACCAAUUAUAACCUUUUGUGAAUCUUCACAUCCUUCCUAUUUUUUCCUAUAAAAAGACCCCUCUCUACUGCUACAACUCAAUAGGUUAAAUUCCCAAAUAUCUAUAUUUCUUCUUGCCCCAAAUAUUUAGCCCUAAAAGUAUCCUUUCUUUUCCCCAAGCCCAAAAAAAAUAAAAAAUCUUCAAUUUAGUUGUUUUAUUUUUUUAUUUUUAGGUUAUAUAAUUGAAAUUGAUAGGAAGAAAGAGUGAUUAUUGUUGACAGAAGAUAGAGAGCACUAAUGAUGAUAUGCUAAUUUCAUUCAAUUUGGGCAGCAAAAGCAUCUCAAUUCAUUUGUGCUCUCUAUGCUUCUGUCAUCACCUUCACCUCUUUCGUAAAAAUAUUUAAAUCUGUGCGAUACAACAACUUAGGUUGCGCCCUAUAGGUUUUCCAACCAAAAAUUAUACUUAAUUAAGUAUCAUAGAGUUUUAAAUCUGUAUAAUUUUGAUUUGUUCGUAAUUUGGUUUUUAGAUCUGAAAGUGAGAUUGUUCAAUUACUAUGUGUGUAUUUUUGCAGCGGACGAUCCAAAUCUUCUGGGUUUUGACAAGUACUCAACAAAUAAGCCAUAUAAAAGCAGUCCAAAAGAUGUCCGGCUGAAUUUCAGGUUACGCAGUUGUGACAGUUCCGUUUUUUUCCUUUUCUAGUCAAAUUACUUGGCCGAAAUUUUCGGAACAAACUUUUUCCAAAAAAAAAACAAAACAUGUAUUUAAUAGAUAUUAUUUAUUUUAGUUACACGUAUAUUGAUAAAUUCAUGUAUUAACUUUAUUAUUACUCUCUUCGUUCGAUAUUAUUUGUCAUAA